rnacentral:rRNA from 1 species
CCCAGACUCCUACGGGAGGCAGCAGUGGGGGAUAUUGCACAAUGGGGGAAACCCUGAUGCAGCGACGCCGCGUGGGUGAAGAAGUAUUUCGGUAUGUAAAGCCCUAUCAGCAGGGAAGAAAGAAGACGGUACCUGACUAAGAAGCCCCGGCUAACUACGUGCCAGCAGCCGCGGUAAUACGUAGGGGGCGAGCGUUAUCCGGAUUCACUGGGUGUAAAGGGAGCGUAGACGGCCGUGCAAGCCAGGAGUGAAAGCCCGGGGCCCAACCCCGGGACUGCUCUUGGAACUGUGCGGCUGGAGUGCGGGAGGGGCAGGCGGAAUUCCUGGUGUAGCGGUGAAAUGCGUAGAUAUCAGGAGGAACACCGGCGGCGAAGGCGGCCUGCUGGACCGCGACUGACGUUGAGGCUCGAAAGCGUGGGGAGCGAACAGGAUUAGAUACCCGGGUAA